GUGCUCUGUCUAGAAAGUGGUGUCAAAGCAACUCACCUGUCAGCCCCCAGGACCUCAAAAAGCCUGGCAGGGUCAGGCAAUGGGUCUUGCUGUUGAGAGAUUUCUGGGGUACACUGGUUUGACCGUCACAAGUUAGAAUUGCAGUCCUCAGGGACUUUGUAAGGUAAUGCCUUGUGGAGAGAUAAGCGAUUGUGCUGUCAACACAAGGGCUGUGAACCUGCAGUGCCCUGAGAAUGAAAUCCUGGCUCUGCUCUACCACGCAUUCAAAACAACAGGAGAAAAUAACUUCCACUUUCUUCACUUCUGUGGGCUCGGUCUCAUGGACAAUGAUAAGGAGAAAUUGCAACAGUCGAGUGGCGAGUGAGCAAGCAAGCCUGAAGAAUGUCUCCUUUAUCCCUCUGGCCAGCAAAGGCUUAAACAGCAGUGCUGAUCACCUGGUUGAUUGGAGAGGGCUAAAUCCAUGCCAGAAGAAACCCUGCUGACAGCAAGGGAAGGAGGGA